GAUGAACGCUGGCGGCGUGCUUAACACAUGCAAGUCGAACGGGAAACCUUUUAAUGCAGCUUCGGCAGAUUUAGCUGGUUUCUAGUGGCGGACGGGUGAGUAACGCGUGGGUAACCUGCCUUAUACAGGGGGAUAACAGUCAGAAAUGACUGCUGAUACCGCAUAAGCGCACAGGACCGCAUGGUCCGGUGUGAAAAACUCCGGUGGUAUAAGAUGGACCCGCGUUGGAUUAGCUUGUUGGUGGGGUAACGGCUCACCAAGGCGACGAUCCAUAGCCGGCCUGAGAGGGUGAACGGCCACAGUGGGACUGAGACACGGCCCAGACUCCUACGGGAGGCAGCAGUGGGGAAUAUUGCACAAUGGGGGAAACCCUGAUGCAGCGACGCCGCGUGAAGGAAGAAGUAUCUCGGUAUGUAAACUUCUAUCAGCAGGGAAGAUAGUGACGGUACCUGACGAAGAAGCCCCGGCUAACUACGUG
rnacentral:rRNA from 1 species